rnacentral:rRNA from 1 species
UAACACAUGCAAGUCGAACGCAGUAGCAAUACUGAGUGGCAAACGGGUGAGUAUAAUGUGGGAAUCUGCCUUUUGGUUUGGAAUAACACGAGGAAACUUGUGCUAAUACCGGAUAAGCCUUUACAGGGAAAGUUUUAAUGCCAAAAGAUGAGCCCGCACUUGAUUAGCUAGUUGGUAAGGUAAAAGCUUACCAAGGCAACGAUCAAUAGCUGUUCUUAGAGGAAGACCAGCCACAUUGGGACUGAGACACGGCCCAAACUCCUACGGGAGGCAGCAG